rnacentral:lncRNA from 1 species
UGUGAAUGAACCUGACAGUUGAACGUUUCUUUUCAUUUCUGUAUUAAAUGAGUAAACCUCUUAUGAUGCUAUAAAAGACAGAAACGGGGCUUCUGAUUUUGUCAUCGAGAAACGAAAAUGGCAAUUACCUUAAUUCGAUGUUUUGUACUUAUCGUUGUUGUUUCAAAUAUAGUGAUAGGAAAUAAGGUGGUUAUAGGUUCUGCAGAAAAAGAUGUUGUUAGNAACAUUAGAAGCAAAUAUUGGCAUGUUCUUCCUCCUGUUCCACCUUCUGGACAGAAAAAUGNUGUUAGCAACAUUAAAAGCAAAGGGUUUCAUGUUCUUCCGAAAGGACCUGUUCCACCUUCUGGACCUUCACCUCCCUGUGGCCAUCCACCUUUUUGUGGUCGUGGCCAUGGGAUACCAUGUUGUUAAUUGCCUAUAAAACUUACAUUGUUGUUUUCAUUGUCCAAAGAAUAAGAGGGAGG